rnacentral:tRNA from 2 species
CGCGGCGAUCCGGGCGGUCCCGGGCCUCAGCUCAUAACGGCGUUGCGGGUUCGACUCCCGCCGUCGCGUCCA